CACGAAGUGAGACAAACAGUUGACUGCAGCGAUGCAUCUCUCCACUCUCAUACUCAUCGUCCGAGUGCAGGCCGUGUCCCCGGCAGCGCGCCAGUGACCCCGACGUGACCCCGGGGUCUCCCCCGGUCCUGCUGUCCCCCUCCAUCUGCGAGGACGUCUUCUUCAGGGCUGCGGCUGAGGACAAGGACUCCCCCCCUGAGAGUGACUACGACGAGCUCGGUGUCCCUGUGGACGGCGGCGCCGAUGACGACAUCCUAGCGCUGCAAGACACCGACUACUUCCAAGACCU